GUGUGCGUAAUUUAAGAAAAAUAUCAAGCUGUGACCUUGAUCAUAGGAGUUUAUCCUCACACACCCA
rnacentral:tRNA from 1 species